GUGAUUGUCCUCACUGGAGCAGUCUGCGUUCGAGGCUCAUCCGUACCUCUUUUUUUUUUUAACACGGGAAUACCCAAGCCUGUGGAGCCCGUAGCUUGAGACAGGAUGAGAGAGUUUCUUGCUUUGCCCUUACUUGACUUUGAAUAUUUGGGGAAAAUUCUCAGUUUGCAGAUUUAGCUAAUGGCACUACAAUGUCACGCUUCUGUUUAACAUUCAGCUUUGUUCAUCAAGAAAACCAGAGAUUGGCUCUUUGCAUGUUGAUUAAAUUGAUUACAGCUGUGGGCCUUGAUAGCACUUUUUUUUUUCCAAGUGUCUCUAAUUAAUCAGACAAUGCUUGAUUGGGCUUUUCUGUUUUGAGGAGAUAAACUGACUUCCUCCAGAAUUUUCACCCUGGUCGUUCUCCGUUGCAAGCCUGUGUUCCUUGAAAUGUCAGGUGUAGCCGUGCGCAGCCUUUUCUUCAGAUUCCAGUUUCAGGAAGGAAGUUUUACACGGCCACCCACUUUUUAGUCGAACCUCCAGUUGAAGCAUCUGCCAUUCGUGCAGAUACAAACCCGACCGCUUCCAGGAGCGCUGCCAGCGUUGAAGAGGACCUGAGAUGCUCGGCUUUCGUCUUUAGAGUCCAGCCGUCAAGUGAGGCGGGCCACCAGGACCUUGGCUUACAUGGUGGGAGGCGACAGUGAGAAAGGCAACCUGUUACUCCUGUCCCUUCUCCGUCAGUAGAUAGGUCUAUAAAGCACGGUAUCCAAUAAGCACUUGCUCACCUUAAUAACUGAUAUUGGGCUGUUUUUAGACACUUUCAGAAGACCUGCAUAAUCUCAUUCAUGGGGGAAGAUCCCAGAGAGAGAUUCUAAUAUUAAGAUAGGAAGCGUCUAGGGCUGCACGUGGAGCUGAGCAGUAGGAACUUGUCUAGCAAGAGGGAAGCCCUGAUUCUAUCCCCAGCACCAAAACGACAACAACAACAACAACAACAACAAAACCACAACAACGACACCUCCAGUACAAAACCAAAGUGCAGCUGAGGUUUGAAAGGUAGAGACUAAGAAGAUGUCUAGCCCCUCAUUUUUACCGUCAGCUGUAAUGGCGAGAAACAGUUUCUUAGACACCUACAUCUAGAAACUUCCUGUGUGUAUAGUAGGAAACACAACUUACAUGUGCUUUUGUUUGAGACUGGGGCUAGUCCUAACCUCUGCCCCUUUCUGAAUCUGUAUACAGAUAUUGGCUUAUUUUUCACAAGCUUCUAGAAAUCCCUUCCUCGUUUGACUGAAUGUGGACACCUAGGUGGUUUCCACAGGCUUGUUAUUGCCGAGGGAACUAGAAGCGACGUGUCAUCUGUCCUCUCUCCCAAGGCCACCGUGAGCAUCUGGCAGGAGAGUUACUCAGGCGUUUGAUAAGCAUUGCCUAACCGCUUCCCCGUUCCCUGAUUUGCUCCUGCCAAAAAUAUAAGUAUGUUCCCAUCUUGUUUAUUGUGGUUUGUGACAGGGUUUCUUAUUUAAAAAAAAAAAAAGACUCAGGCAGUCUUUGAACUCAUUACGUGGUGAAGAUUAUCCUGAAUUCCUUCCUCCCCGUCUCUCCAGUACUAGCAUGUUUAUAGACACGUACCAGCACUCUCAGCCCAUCGCUCUCCUAGUCUCUUAAGACCUUAGAACUUCUGCCUAGCUGUCAGUCAAAUAUCAUUCUUUUAACUUGCUUUUCCCUGUGUACAUAUCAAACAUUUUUCCAUGCAUUAAAGAACAUGACACAUCUUUA
rnacentral:sRNA from 1 species